CCUACGGGAGGCAGCAGUGAGGAAUAUUGGUCAAUGGACGCAAGUCUGAACCAGCCAUGCCGCGUGCAGGAAGACGGCUCUAUGAGUUGUAAACUGCUUUUGUACGAGGGUAAACGCAGAUACGCGUAUCUGUCUGAAAGUAUCGUACGAAUCAGGAUCGGCUAACUCCGUGCCAGCAGCCGCGGUAAUACGGAGGAUUCAAGCGUUAUCCGGAUUUAUUGGGUUUAAAGGGUGCGUAGUGGGAAUGCCAAGUCAGAGGGAAAAUCGGGGGGCUAAACUUCGCUCCGCGGUUGAAACUGGCGUUCUUGAGUGGAGGAGAGGUAUGCGGAAUGCGUGGUGUAGCGGUGAAAUGCGUAGAUAUCACGCAGAACUCCGAUUGCGAAGGCAGCAUACCGGAGCCCAACUGACGCUGAGGCACGAAAGCGUGGGUAUCGAACAGGAUUAGAUACCCCAGUAGUC
rnacentral:rRNA from 1 species